rnacentral:rRNA from 1 species
GAUGAACGCUGGCGGCGUGCCUAAUACAUGCAAGUCGAGCGAACAGACGAGGAGCUUGCUCCUCUGACGUUAGCGGCGGACGGGUGAGUAACACGUGGAUAACCUACCUAUAAGACUGGGAUAACUUCGGGAAACCGGAGCUAAUACCGGAUAAUAUAUUGAACCGCAUGGUUCAAUAGUGAAAGACGGUUUUGCUGUCACUUAUAGAUGGAUCCGCGCCGCAUUAGCUAGUUGGUAAGGUAACGGCUUACCAAGGCAACGAUGCGUAGCCGACCUGAGAGGGUGAUCGGCCACACUGGAACUGAGACACGGCCCAGACUCCUACGGGAGGCAGCAGUAGGGAAUCUUCCGCAAUGGGCGAAAGCCUGACGGAGCAACGCCGCGUGAGUGAUGAAGGUCUUCGGAUCGUAAAACUCUGUUAUUAGGGAAGAACAAAUGUGUAAGUAACUAGGCACGUCUUGACGGUACCUAAUCAGAAAGCCACGGCUAACUACGUG